AAUUUCGUGGUUUUGUGGUCAUAGUCAGUUUUGGUAACAACGCAGAACGUCCCCAGUUCGAUCCUGGGCGAAAUCA
rnacentral:tRNA from 1 species